rnacentral:lncRNA from 1 species
AGAGACCCAACUCCCGCCAGCUGUCUUCUGACCUCCAUAUAUGCCUGGUGACACAGUGCCCACUUACCUCCCACACACAAAAUAAAUAAAUGGAAUUACAUUUUUUAGUUUAAAAUUUAAAAAAAAUUAAAACUCUCACUGCCCGUAGGCAGGACGCUCCCCCUCAUCCCAGCUCUGGCAGCUGCUCAUCCUCCAUUAUGGCACGUCCUGUGAACGGAGUCUGCUUUUUUGCUCUGGCUUCUCCCUCGCCACCAUCCCCAAGUCCACCCCUGGUGAAGGCCAUGCCUUUGCUCCAUUCAUUUCUGUGGUCCCAUCACAUCCCAUUUUAUGUAUGGGGGGGGUUUAUUUACUGAGACAGGGUCUCGCUGUGUAGCCCUGACUGUCCUGGAACUUGCUAUGUAGACCAGGCUGGCCUUGAACUUGGAGAUCCACCUGCCUCUGGGUUCUGGGAUCAAAGCACUGUACCUGGUCCAUGUGUUUUCUUCUUUCAAUUUCGAUUCUUUCU